UGGCCUAGAAGGUAAAGGCAUCCGCCCUUCUAUCCCGCGUCCAGUCCCUAGAACGCAGGAGAAGAGCCGAACACUGUUGUUCAAUAUGGAGCAUGGCUACUCGGGGAGAUGCUGAGCUCGGAGAACCGUCUUCACUUCCAAGAAAUAAAAUAUCAGAAAGGAAUACCACACUGUGUGGUGAAGCUAAAGAAGCCCAGGCUGGAAAGACAGUGGCCUGUCAGCCUCCCUUCUUACCCAUACCAAACCACCCCAGGAGACACGGAUCGGAUAUUCUUUUGGCUUGGAAUGGCAUCUGGCACGUCACAAAUACCAUGAGGCAGUGUGAUCGAGAUUAGGGCGCGGUCCCCAGCAGCCUUCAGCGGGAUACAGACUCUCAGUAUCUGUUUAUUCUCCACUGACAGCCAGGAUCUAGGAACAGCUUCAGGGGGCGGUAACCACCCCAAGGCACCCUCACUUAAGAGUGAGUGUGGGUAAUCUGGUUAGGGGAAGGAAAGCCCACGGAGAGAAGGGGAGAACAGCAGAGAAAAGAGUCUCUCAGCUGGACUUGCGGAGUGGAGACACUGGGGCAGUUUGGACGCCAUUUUGACCACUAGAGGUCAGUGGAAUGUUUUCUAAACUCAACGGGUCACUGAGGAACCUGUAGAAAGAAUUGUCUACAGCAUCACCCACAACACCAUCCCUUGAAGAAUCCAAGUUUGUUUUGCUUUGUUGAGGAGCCCACGUCAUCCACCCUUCUCUGGACCCUCCUGUUAGAAGGUCACAUUUGCAAGACAAUGCUCUAGGCCAGGGAUGAGGGAUGGUGAGAAAAUCAGCCUGGGACUGGGACACCACUUUUCUCCGAAGCUGAAUAGCCCAGAUGUUCAAGAUUGUCCAUGAUCCCUUUUUUCUAGCAAAUACUGCCUAAGAUCCUUAAGAUCCUACUCACUUGCAGCCUUGCAUCCCGAGAGUCCUGUGGUUAGACCUCUGCUCCUUCUCUUCAUCAGUACAGAUCUGUGAGACUCUCCUGUUUUCCAAGGUCAGCAUUGAGCACUAUAGUGGAAUCUUAUGUGUUUAUUGAUAUCUCACCCCAUUUCCUAGACUCUGCUACAAAUGAAGACUGUUUUGUCUUCAUGGCUCAUCUUCUAGCCCAUGAGCACCUUAAGAACUCGGGUUAUGGGCCUGGAGAGAUGGCUCAGAGGUUAAGAGCAUUGACUGCUCUUCUAGAGGUCUUGAGUUCAAUUCCCAGCAACCACAUGGUGGCUCACAGCCAUCUGUAAUGAGAUCGGUGCCCUCUUCUG